GGGUUCAAGGAACUAAAUACAACAAGGAUUUAUAGAGAAACAGUGAGGAAGUCCUUGAGCACUAGUGUCGGUUGAAAGUCUUGUGGUCAAAUAUGUCCAAGCAGAAUCCUUAUCAUUUUCUUACGAUUUGCAUCUUUCUUUGUCAUAGGUUCCUCGUGGGGCUGCUGCUCCAGUUUUGCUUCAAGGCUGGUCUUGCCCAUCUUGAGCAAAAUCAGCUGCCAGAUGCAUUGUCCUGUUUUGAUGAAGCUUUCUUAGCAAGAAUCUCGUGGAGCUGACAUAAAGGCUCAAGCCACAAUAUGUGCACAAUACAAAAUUGCAGUCACCCUGCUUCAGGUACCUGAGCAGUUACCAAGUUAGACAAAAUCAGCUGCCAGAUGCAUUGUCCUGUUUUGAUGAAGCUUUCUUAGCACUGGCUAAGGAUCAAUCUCGUGGAGCUGACAUAAAGGC
rnacentral:lncRNA from 1 species